rnacentral:rRNA from 1 species
AGCAUCCUGGUGGCGAGUGGCGAACGGGUGAGUAAUAUAUCGGAACGUGCCCAGUCGUGGGGGAUAACGCAGCGAAAGCUGUGCUAAUACCGCAUACGAUCUCUGGAUGAAAGCGGGGGACUCGUAAGAGCCUCGCGCGAUUGGAGCGGCCGAUAUCAGAUUAGCUAGUUGGUGGGGUAAAGGCCCACCAAGGCGACGAUCUGUAGCUGGUCUGAGAGGACGACCAGCCACACUGGAACUGAGACACGGUCCAGACUCCUACGGGAGGCAGCAGUGGGGAAUUUUGGACAAUGGGCGCAAGCCUGAUCCAGCGAUGCCGCGUGCAGGAUGAAGGCCUUCGGGUUGUAAACUGCUUUUGUACGGAACGAAAAGGUCUGCCUUAAUACGGUGGGCCCAUGACGGUACCGUAAGAAUAAGCACCGGCUAACUACGUGCCAGCAGCCGCGGUAAUACGUAGGGUGCGAGCGUUAAUCGGAAUUACUGGGCGUAAAGCGUGCGCAGGCGGUUAUAUAAGACAGAUGUGAAAUCCCCGGGCUCAACCUGGGACCUGCAUUUGUGACUGUAUAGCUAGAGUACGGUAGAGGGGGGGAUGGAAUUCCGCGUGUAGCAGUGAAAUGCGUAGAUAUGCGGAGGAACACCGAUGGCGAAGGCAAUCCCCUGGACCUGUACUGACGCUCAUGCACGAAAGCGUGGGGAGCAAACAGGAUUAGAUACCCCUGGUAGUCCACGCCCUAAACGAUGUC